AACGAACGCUGGCGGCAUGCCUAACACAUGCAAGUCGAACGAAGGCUUCGGCCUUAGUGGCGCACGGGUGCGUAACGCGUGGGAAUCUGCCCUUGGGCUCGGAAUAACUCAGAGAAAUUUGAGCUAAUACCGGAUGAUGACGUAAGUCCAAAGAUUUAUCGCCCAAGGAUGAGCCCGCGUAGGAUUAGCUUGUUGGUGAGGUAAAGGCUCACCAAGGCGACGAUCCUUAGCUGGUCUGAGAGGAUGAUCAGCCACACUGGGACUGAGACACGGCCCAGACUCCUACGGGAGGCAGCAGUGGGGAAUAUUGGACAAUGGGCGAAAGCCUGAUCCAGCAAUGCCGCGUGAGUGAUGAAGGCCUUAGGGUUGUAAAGACUCUUUUACCCGGGAUGAUAAUGACAGUACCGGGAGAAUAAGCUCCGGCUAACUCCGUGCCAGCAGCCGCCGGUAAGGUGACGCUCU
rnacentral:rRNA from 1 species